rnacentral:rRNA from 1 species
AACGAACGCUGGCGGCAGGCUUAACACAUGCAAGUCGAACGCACCGCAAGGUGAGUGGCAGACGGGUGAGUAACACGUGGGGAUCUGCCCAAUGGUACGGAAUAGCUCCGGGAAACUGGAAUUAAUACCGUAUGUGCCCUUCGGGGGAAAGAUUUAUCGCCAUUGGAUGAACCCGCGUCGGAUUAGCUAGUUGGUGUGGUAAAGGCGCACCAAGGCGACGAUCCGUAGCUGGUCUGAGAGGAUGAUCAGCCACACUGGGACUGAGACGCGGCCCAGACUCCUACGGGAGGCAGCAGUGGGGAAUAUUGGACAAUGGGCGCAAGCCUGAUCCAGCCAUGCCGCGUGAGUGAUGAAGGCCUUAGGGUUGUAAAGCUCUUUCGCCGACGAAGAUAAUGACGGUAGUCGGAGAAGAAGCCCUGGCUAACUUCGUGCCAGCCGCCGCAGUAA